rnacentral:rRNA from 1 species
CCUACGGGCGGCAGCAGUGAGGAAUAUUGGUCAAUGGGCGAGAGCCUGAACCAGCCAAGUCGCGUGAGGGAGUACUGCCCUAUGGGUUGUAAACCUCUUUUGUCGGGGAGCAAAAGCCGGACGUGUCCGGCUGUGAGAGUACCCGAAGAAAAAGCAUCGGCUAACUCCGUGCCAGCAGCCGCGGUAAUACGGAGGAUGCGAGCGUUAUCCGGAUUUAUUGGGUUUAAAGGGGUCGCAGGCGGAUUUUUAAGUCAGCGGUAAAAUCGUGGGGCUCAACCCCAUCCAGCCGUUGAAACUGGGGAUCUAGAGUGUGCGAGAGGUAUGCGGAAUGCGUGGUGUAGCGGUGAAAUGCAUAGAUAUCACGCAGAACCCCGAUUGCGAAGGCAGCAUACCGGUGCACAACUGACGCUCAGGCACGAAAGCGUGGGUAUCGAACAGGAUUAGAUACCCUAGUAGUC